rnacentral:lncRNA from 1 species
AUCUAGGUCACAUGAACAGUCAUGUGACCCACUAGCAGGUGGUGUUAAUGAUCUAGCUUGAUUGGGGUGGUUUAAAAGACAGGCAUGCAGACAUUUCAGCUAUUCCUGUUUGUGUUUGAUGCUUGGGAGGAAGGUGUUGGAGAGCCUAGGGUUUCUGCGCAGUUGUGGUGGCAAACAUGACUUGGCGAUGCCAAAGGCUUUGCGUGCUUUCAUUUGCUAUAUUUGCCUUUACUGGUGCUGACGGCUAUGUAGUCAGAACUAAAGACACUGCACAGGCUGGACUUGUCUAUAGUGAAGAUUGGGUACCUCUCCCACCUUCAGAAGACACUACCACUGAAACCAAACCCAGUGGAAAUCCUUCUGGUAGUUCUGCACCUCGACCCCAGCUGCUUGGCUCCUCUAAUGGCAUUGUGGCAAGUCAGAAUGCUGUUCGCCUUCAGGACUCUUUAGAUAGUCUUCAGUCUGCACCCAGUGCUCAAGGCCUCUCUGGACCGUAUACUCCUACCUCUCAGCAACAGGACAUCUUCUGGACUGGACCAUCUUCAGGCAGUCAAGCUAUUGCUCUGCCUUCUCAACCUCAAAGGUCACCGGAACCACUUGUUUAUGCUUCCCAGGCUAGGCCAUUGAGCUCUUCCCAGCCUCAGCUUUUAGGUGGUAGCUUGACUUCUCCUUCCCAAGGUGCUCCCCUGCAACAAUUAAGGGCAAGACUGCUAACUGGUCAAGGUGCUAGUGUCACAUUGAACAAUGUAAGGCCUGUCAGUGACCUUGCUCAACAAAGUGGAAGCCCAUAUAUGAGCAUGCCUUCUCAAGCUUCAAGCACAGGGCCAACCUAUAGCAGUUUCCAGCCUGGCUUUCAGAGUGCCUUAUCACAAUUUCCUAGUGCCCCAACUGGUCAAUACAGAGCCCCAUCCAGCAGCCUUAGACCUGGCAGUGACUUUGCCCAACAAAGCAGUUCCCAGUCUGGCUUUCAACCUGUAAGCACAGGCCAGACCGCUAGCAGUUUCCAGACUGGCUUUCCGAGUGCUCCAUCCCAAUUUCCUGUUCCCUCAAGUGGUCAAUACAUGGCCCCUAGUCAAGGAGCCCCAUCCAGCAGCCUUAGACCUGCCAGUGACUUUGCCCAACAAAGUGGAAACCCAUUCCUGAGUACACCAUCUCAACCUGUAAGCACAGCCCAGACCGCUAGCAGUUUCCAGACUGGCUUUCCGAGUGCUCCAUCCCAAUUUCCUAGUGCCUUAACUGGUCAAUAUACAGCCCCUAGUCAAGGAGCCCCAUCCAGCAGCCUUAGACCUGCCAGUGACUUUGCCCAACAACCUUCUCAAUAUGUAGGCACAAGCCAGACCACUAGCAGCUUCCUGCCUGGCUUUCAGACUGCCCCAUCCCAAUUUCCUAGUGCCUCAAUUGGUCAAUAUACAGCCCCUAGUCAAGGAGCCCCAUCCAGCAGCCUUAGACCUGCCAGUGACUUUGCCCAACAAAGUGGAAGCCCAUUCCUGAGUGCACCUUCUCAAACUACAGGCACAGGGCAGACAUCCAGCAGCUUCCAGCCUGGCUUUCAGAGUGCAUUUACCCAACUUCCAAGUGCUCUAUAUAUGCCCUCUCUUGCUAGCCCUGACCUGUAUAAUCAAGGAAGUCAGACAACUGGGGCUUAUCGGUGGCCUCAAGGGGGUUCUGGAAGUAGUCCUCAGAGCCAGGGAACCCAAGAACAGCCUAGCUUCAGCCAAGACGGGUCUAGAUCACUGGCACAGGUAACAUCCAGUGGCUCAUCUGCUUUAGGAUCAACAGGCUUCUACAGUGGUUCUGCAAGCCCUAGCUCAACUGGUAUUGAUCCGCCUUAUAGGCCUCUACCGAAGAGGUUCUGUCCUCGGUGACUCUUCAUUUAAGCAAUGAAUACUGAAUGGUUUGCUUGCCAGUCUUGUCUGUUUUUUCGAAUCAAUAAAUGUGUUGUCUUUAUUUUUGUCUCUGCA